GCUUUUGGGUGCGGGAGAUGUGCUUUGUGAAUACUCUCAGCAGCUACAAGGGACGCCUUCCAGGGAACCUCAGAACGCUGUACUCUGUACACAGCAGCUCUCAUAAUGUGCUUAUUGUAAUCCAGCUAAAGUGUCAGGCCAGAGUGUGAAGAAAUCUUGAAGUUCCUACCUGAGUGAGCUAGCGUGUAGCAGUCUGAGGACCCUCUGUAUUGGACCCCUCUCAUCCUGCUUUUCACCGAAGCGUUCCUGACAUUGUAAACGGAAGUCAAUACAGCCUUUUCUCAAUAAAGGAGUUCUAAAAAGUUAA